CUCGCGCGGUCCCCACCCGGCGAGUGUGAGGCUCUUGCGGUGGGCUUGCGGCGCCCCCUGGGGGCUCCGAGCGGCUCUCCCUCCUGGCACGGGCCAGCCGGGAGACGUCAGCUCGAGCUUGAGGGGCGCUCCUAGGCUGCCAGCCAGACUGUCCGGUCCUCGGUCCCCUCCAGGCGCCGGGAGCACUCCUGCAGGCGCGGCUCGGUUCUGAUGCAUCUCUGAAGGUGACAUCCACGCAUCUCCGUCACCGAGAGAUCCCAUCCUCAUUCCGUAGAUGAGGAAGCCGGGUUUCUAAGACACAUCCACCGGCACCAAGAGGAGUCUCUGGGACCCUGAGGCCCAUCCUCUCUCGUCUUUUUCCACCUAGGGACCCCAUCCUUUGCCUUACAGAGCCUAGAUGUGACCUCGGACAUGGUUUGAGUCCCUUUCUACCUGCCCUCUCUUCGCGGUUUCCUGAAGCCAGAGAGAUCACCUGAAGCAUCCUUCUUGGGACGGGCUGGCAAGGCUGCAGUAUGAACAAGAGUGUGUGUGGAGUGGGGUUAUUCUUAGCUACUGCAGAAGGAAGGUAGAGCAACUUUAAUGGAGGCGAAUCUGAGAACAUCAUCGGAACUGUCCUCGGAGAAAAAGUCCAGUAUUCACUUACUGGAGAAAGAGCAGCCAAAAAAGUUGGAUAAAGGAAGUAGGAAAGAGGAUUAUGGGGGCCUUUCCUAUGCCCACGCCAGAACAGCCACAGGAAUCAUGGUCCCCAAGAGCGGCUCCUUCUGAAGAACGUGAUAGUGAUGAAACAUUUUCCAAAGUGUUGAUUAUAACACAGUUUGCAGCAUGACUCAGUUUAGUGGAUCAUGCAUUUGGCCACAGAUCAGGAGCUCUGGAAGAAAAAUUGCUACUGGACACCCACUCAAGUUGUACUGGAUAAAGUAACUGACCAAUGCACCAGAUUCCAGAAGGUUGAUGAAUAUGCAGUAAGUAAUGUGGUUUCUUUCUUGUACCAGCUCCACGCAAAUUGACUGGAGCAUAUAGAACAAUGUUUGAGAUCCAAUGAAGAAGCAGAGGAUUUAUCUGCACCAACCUGGGCUUGUCAUUCUUGGCUGUGCAUGAUCAGCAUGUGAAGCCGUCCUGUUGAUGGAUUCAGCUGUGAUUGGGAGCAGUGAGGACAAAGUAGGCUGUCAGAGAGGAGCAAGUCAUCCGGAUUCUCCCAGACAAGGAGACAACACUGAAACUACGUUGGGCUUUUUCCUUCUGAAAUCUGGCAAAGUGGAAUUGGCUGAAAAGUAAGCAGUGCAGUCUGUUUUUAAUUUCACUUCUCAAGAAAGCCAGCUAACUUUCAUCAUGAGUUAUGAAGCUUGUAUCUUUUUUUUGAAAUUAACUUUUUCAUAAACCUUAAUUGAAGAUAUGCAGAAUUUUUACAUGUGAAAAUAUUUUUUCCAAUGUAUUACCCAGUAUUUUUCCAGUGUAUCACCCAGUUUUUAUUUAAAGUUAUCCUCUAUUGUUCUAAACAGUACAUAGUGCCAAAAGCUAAAAAAAAAAAAAAAAAAUUAUAAUUUCAGCAUCAGGAAUGGCUUGUUUAAAGAAAUCGGCUUGCAAUAGAUUGUAAUGAACUAUAAUGGCCCUUUAAAGAUUUAGAUGACCUUUUAAAGAAUGGUUUAGAAGUAAAUUGCUAGAAAUAUUAAUUCAUUAACAAAAAGAAAAACGUGAACAUGAGGGGGGAUGAAUUGCCUGCCCUUUUUGGGAGGUAGGGAAAUAAUAGUCCACAUUGGGACCUACAGGCCCUGCCACUGCUACUGAGGCCAGUGACCCCAAGAACUGACCACUUGGAAUGUUCGCUACCCCUGGCCUGGCACUAGGGUCUAAGUCUGUGGUAUAAAGAAGACCUACUGGGCUUCCUUGGUGGCUCAGUGGUAAAGAAUCUGCCUGCCAAUGCAGGAGAUGCGGGUUUGAUCCCUGGUAAGGGAAGAUCCCCCAUGCCGAGAAGUAGCUAAGCACGUGCGCUACAACUACUGAGCCUGUGCGCUACAGCCCACACACACACAACUACUGAAGUCCACAGGCCCUAGAGCCCACGUUCCACAAGAGGAGCCACUGCAAUGAGGAGCCUGCACACCGCAACGGGAGAGUAGCCACAGGUCACUCAACUAGAGAAAAGCUUGUGCAGCAACGAAGAGCUAGCACAGCCCAAAAUAAGAAUAAAUAAAGUUAUAAAAAGGAAAAAAAAAAGAGC
ensembl:lncRNA